rnacentral:rRNA from 1 species
AUAACUAAGCGGAGGAAAAGAAACUAACCAGGAUUCCCCCAGUAACGGCGAGUGAAGCGGGAAGAGCUCACGUUGUAAAUCUGCCCCAGUGGUCGAAUUGUAGUCUGUAGAGGCGAGGCCAGCCGUUGGCGGGGGCGAAGUCUCUUGGAAAAGAGCAUCAAGGAGGGUGACAAUCCCGUCCCUGCCCCCGCUUGACGCGCGUCCGGUCCGUUUUCUUCGAGUCGAGUUGCUUGGGAUUGCAGCUCAAAGCGGGUGGUAAAUCCCAUCUAAAGCUAAACACGAGUGAGAGACCGAUAGCGAACAAGUACCGUGAGGGAAAGAUGCAAAGAACUUUGAAAAGAGAGUUAAAGAGUGCCUGAAAUUGCUGAAAGGGAAGCGAAGGAAAUGAGUGUCUGGCGGUGUACUGGCAUGUCAGGCGCCCUCCGGGACGCAGGACCCAACAGGUUCCGCCGUGGUCAGGGCCGGGUGACGUCGCGGGAGACUGCGCAAGGCGUGAGGUACGUCUCCAUAAGUUUUCGGAGAGGGACUACAACGUGGCGUGUGGUCGCGACGGCGGGCGGUUCUGACGAAAUGGUUUUCUUCAC